ACACACACGCACGCACACAGACCAUGUAUUUCUUUUGUUUGGUUUGGUUUGCUCAAACUCCUCGCCUGGUCACCACAACCUGAGGCGGUGCUUGACUGUGUCGUAGGUGUGAGAGAGAGAGAGAGAGAGAGAGAGAGAGAGAGAGAGAGAGAGAGAGAGAGAGAGAGAGAGUGAGAGAGAGAGAGAGAGAGAGAGAGAGAGAGAGAGGGACGCUUGAAAAAGGUGAAAUCUUUCACCUUGGCAACUUUCUAAGACAUCAAAGAUUCCUUUGAUCUGUGACCACUGACACUGUUACUCGUUCCAUCGAUGAAGGCUACCAUUGGCAAAGAAGAGGUCCCGCUGUGUCCUGGGACGUUUUAAUCCUCUGAGGACUGUUUGGACGAACAUGGCCGACACGUUGAGGAGACUGACCAGCACCUCCUCGUUCAGCGUCUUGCAGGACAAGCUGGAGAGCUGGCACAAAGAUUACCAUGUCAUUUCCUGUGACCAGAAUCUGAACAAAUGUUGUGAGCUGAUUGAAAUAACCGCCAAGAUCCAGGGCCAACUGUUUACUAUCCUCAACCUCACAGCUGCUGAGGGUGGACACUACGCUGGAGUGGACACUCUCAAAACACGCCUGCUGCCGUGGCUUGGGACCUGUUUCUCCAUGGCAAAGCCCUCAGUCCCUGAUGACACCAGUCUACAGCUCAUCCAGGACUCGGUGGAAAAGGACAGGAGGAUCAGGGAGCUCUCUGCCUCUCAUGACAAUGACAUGCAGAAGAUGGAGACUCAGCUGUGCUCCACUCGCUUUCAGCUGGUCUCCGUCAGAGCAGAACUGGUUGAUGCUCACAAGGACCUGGAUGAGACAAAGAGCAGAUCAGCAACUACUCUGCUGGCCACUGAAGAUGAAAUAUUGCAACUGAAAGCAGAUUUGCGAUCCGCACACGAGCAGGUGGAGAUUUACAAGAGGAAGCUGAUGGCUCUUGAUGACGAUAAUCGUCAGAUUCGCUUGCUGAGAGAUGAAGUGUCCUACCUGAGCACGGAGAAGGCCAUGCUGCAGGAGAGGCUGGUGAGAAGUCGUUCUCCGAGCCCUUUGCCCAGACUCAGCCGCUCCUCCAGCCCCAUGAGGAGUGAGUCACCCACCAGAGCCCAGCUCACCAACUCCUCCCGCCACGCACGCCUCGUGUCUCGCUUUAGCGACCUGUAUGCUGGGGAGCGUCUGGAGGCCCAGAGCCUGCUUCGACGCUACAUCGCUGAUUUAGAGAUGGUCCAGAAAAUCAUCUUCAUUGCUGUAGUGGAAUCCUUCAAGACAGCAAAACUAGCUUUCCGCCAGUUAAAGCUGCGUGUAAGAAAGACCUUGUCCCCAUCCCACUUUGGACCAGAAAGUCUGGAAGACGCAGCCGUGGACUACAUUGUCAGAAACGUGGAGCUAUAUGAUGUACAGGACAGCGUCGAGGGCGUGAUCAACUCCAUGAACGUGAAUCCCCGCAUUUCCUUCCCGCCAGAGGUGGACUUUGUCCUCAUCAGUACAUUGAUCAGGGAGACGUGCAGGGUGGCCUUCGCCAUGCAGACUCUGGACCCCGCGCUUGACAUGGCCUUCGCCUGUGAUGGAGAAUUUUACAAUGACAUUAAGUAUCGCCGCAGCUAUGACUCUGAGUUCACUGCUCCUCUGGUGAUGUACCACGUGUGGCCAGCCUUGAUGGAAGGAAACUCCGUCAUAGUGAAGGGCGAGGCAGUGACCAGAAGAGGGGCUCCGUGGAGUAGAAGCCAGAACCAGAGCAGGAGCACCAGCCCUGUGCGCUCUCGCUCUCUCAGCCCAACUCGCAGUCUUGUAAGUCUCUAUAAUAAUUGAGAGUGCAACAAACCACACUGGAGGACAGGCGCAGUUGCUGGUUUUGGUAUUACAUGUUUCAUUGGGCUUAAAGAUACAAAAAUGUAUAAUUCAAAUGUAUCAUUUUCCACUUAAUAACUUGUAUGCACAUCAAUGGCCCUAAGGGCAUUUAACAGCAGGAGAAUCCUGUCACCUGAUCGUCUCUCAGCCAGCUACCUGUGAACUCUCCUUCAACCGGACCGGGGUCCACACCUUCAUGUCUGACAUAUUCUAAAUUCUGUUUCAUCCGUGGGGUAACGCCUACGUCUGCUUCCACCAAAUACAGCAAUUUAAAUCUCAGACACUGAGCUGGACCAACCAAAGGCUGUUUAGAGUUUACAUGGUCAGGGGACAGUUUUAUGGGACACUGACACUAACACUGACACUAUGAGGCCAGUACAUUGUAGAUGAGGUAAAAGAGGAUGGCAGCUAAAUUAACUGUUGUCUUGAGUGUGUUAUAUUCAGUGUGUGACUAGAGGUUAUUGAUAGAAACUAACAGUGUUUUUUAGUGGUCGUGAGACAUUUAAAGUUGUUUUUUUUCGGAGGAAGACUCGACCUGCACAGUAGCACUUUCGUAGUCUGACAGCGAACUAUAGCACCACAAUGCAUAGAGCAUGUGACGUGUAUGAUUAUUUUUCUUUUUUACAUAGCAGAACACUUUGGGUAUGCAGCAGGACGUACAGUAUGGUGCUAAUGAUCUGUGCUAACUUCCACUCCUCCAGUACUCUAUGGACAUUGCUUUCUUUAGUCCCCCCUUUAUAUUUUGGUGCUGUUACUUUAUAUCGAGUUCUGAUAUGAAUAAUUAGAGAUAGUUAUGUAGAAUAUGAUUAGUUAUUUGCAGCAAUGUCUAAAUGCAUUCAAUAUGACAUUCUAUUUAUUUCUCCUAGUUUACAUCCCAUGUAUUGUAUAUACAUCACCAGGUACAUUCACAUAUCUGAUACUUCUGUACUUGAUUUGCCUGUUAAUGACUUGACUUUACAAACCAUAGUAGAUUAUUCAUUUUGAUUUAACUUGUGGUGUGUGAUGAGUAUAUUCUUUGACUGUGCCUUAUAUGAUUAUUAUAAUUUUUUUAAUAAAUGACAAAAUGUUUAGUUUCCUGCAGCUCAGUUUGUUUUCAGUUUUUUGCUGAAUGUGUUUUAUUUACUACAUCAGUUUUUAGCAGCCGUACCAGCAGUGCAGUGUUGGUAAGGCAUGAUGAUGCAUCUUGAUCAAUUACAACAGAACACAAAUUUAGAAAUAAAACUUUUUAAAUCUC